rnacentral:rRNA from 1 species
GAUUAACGCUGGCGGCGUGCCUAAUACAUGCAAGUUGAACGAGAAGCUUCGGCUUCUAGUAGCGAACGGGUGAGUAACACGUAGGCAACCUGCCCUGUUGACUGGGAUAACAAAUCGAAAGACUUGCUAAUACCGGAUAAUAACGUAUGUCGCAUGACAUAUGGAUGAAAGUUGGGAUACAACACAACAGGAUGGGCCUGCGGCGCAUUAGCUAGAUGGUGAGGUAACGGCCCACCAUGGUAAUGAUGCGUAGCCGAUCUGAGAGGAUGUACGGCCACAUUGGAACUGAGAUACGGGUCCAGACUCCUACGGGAGGCAGCAGUAGGGAAUUUUUCGGGCAAUGGGGGGAACCCUGACCGAGCAACGCCGCGUGAACG